CUCUGACCGAGACGGACGCGACCCGCGACUGGGUCCGAUUGGAAAUCACUUCUCCGGCCACCUCUCUGCGGCGGACCACCGGCAACAGCUUCGUCUCUGCGUCGCCUACCUCCCUGCAUCCUCAGAUUGUCCAUGCAUCGACGAUGAACGGAGAAACAACUAUUGGAAGCUCGGAGACUCCUCCGGCGAGUUUCGGCGAUUCCGGCCACCAUCUGGGCUGUAGUUGCUUUUCCGGCAUUGCUGGGCUUUGUUUCUUGCUCGACUGCAACUGUAGGCAAGAUAUUGGCCAACUUUCUGGGUAGAUUACGUCAACAUCCUCAGUCCCUCAGCUACCUAGUUUCGGCAUGUGGUUUGGCUUGAUUGCAAUGGGAUUUUGAAGGUAUAUUUCAAACCUCAAAUCAAGUUUUGAUCUUGGUUUGGUUCUUGGAAGAUAGGGAACUGAGUUUGGUUUGGUAUGGUGAGAUGAAAUCUCUAUCUGAUAUCGAUUGUGUUAAGUUAGUUUACUGAUGGCUUUUGGAGUUUAUGCUCGAAUUAGGAAUUAAGUUUGGUGGAGUUGAUUGUUUGUAUGUGUUAUGAACAGUGUUGUGGUUGAAUUCGGAUUA